UCUUCCCCCUUUCUUCGUGCCUAAUACAUGCAAGUCGAGCGAACAGACGAGGAGCUUGCUCUUCUGAUGUUAGCGGCGGACGGGUGAGUAACACGUGGAUAACCUAUCUAUAAGACUGGGAUAACUUCGGGAAACCGGAGCUAAUACCGGAUAAUAUCUUGAACCGCAUGGUUCAAUAGUGAAAGACGGUAUUGCUGUCACUUAUAGAUGGAUCCGCGCCGCAUUAGCUAGUUGGUAAGGUAACGGCUUACCAAGGCAACGAUGCGUAGCCGACCUGAGAGGGUGAUCGGCCACACUAGAACUGAGACACGGUCCAGACUCCUACGGGAGGCAGCAGUAGGGAAUCUUCCGCAAUGGGCGAAAGCUUGACGGAGCAACGCCGCGUGAGUGAUGACGGUCUUCGGAGCGUAAAACUCUGUUAUUAGGGAAGAACAAAUGUGUAAGUAACUAUGCACGUCUUGACGGUACCUAAUCAGAAAGCCACGGCUAACUACGUG
rnacentral:rRNA from 1 species